rnacentral:rRNA from 1 species
CUACUGUUGCUUCGGCGGGAUUGCCCCGGGCGCCUCGUGUGCCCCGGAUCAGGCGCCCGCCUAGGAAACUUAAUUCUUGUUUUAUUUUGGAAUCUUCUGAGUAGUUUUUACAAAUAAAUAAAAACUUUCAACAACGGAUCUCUUGGUUCUGGCAUCGAUGAAGAACGCAGCGAAAUGCGAUAAGUAAUGUGAAUUGCAGAAUUCAGUGAAUCAUCGAAUCUUUGAACGCACAUUGCGCCCGCCAGUAUUCUGGCGGGCAUGCCUGUCUGAGCGUCAUUUCAACCCUCAUGCCCCUAGGGCGUGGUGUUGGGGAUCGGCCAAAGCCCGCGAGGGACGGCCGGCCCCUAAAUCUAGUGGCGGACCCGUCGUGGCCUCCUCUGCGAAGUAGUGAUAUUCCGCAUCGGAGAGCGACGAGCCCCUGCCGUUAAACCCCCAACUUUCCAAGGUUGACCUCAGAUCAGGUAGGAAUACCCGCUGAACUUAAGCAUAUC